rnacentral:rRNA from 1 species
UACAGAGGUCCCAAGCGUUGUUCGGAUUCACUGGGCGUAAAGGGUGCGUAGGUGGUGAGGUAAGUCGGAUGUGAAAGCUCGGAGCUCAACUCCGAAAUGGCAUUGGAAACUACCUUGCUCGAGGGUUGGAGGGGGGACUGGAAUGCUUGGUGUAGCAGUGAAAUGCGUAGAUAUCGGGAGGAACACCAGUGGCGAAGGCGGCUUUCUGGCCUGUUCUUGACGCUGAGGCGCGAAAGCUAGGGUAGCAAACGGG